rnacentral:rRNA from 1 species
GAUGAACGCUGGCGGCGUGCCUAAUACAUGCAAGUCGAGCGAACAGACGAGGAGCUUGCUCCUCUGACGUUAGCGGCGGACGGGUGAGUAACACGUGGAUAACCUACCUAUAAGACUGGGAUAACUUCGGGAAACCGGAUCUAAUACCGGAUAAUAUAUUGAACCGCAUGGUUCAAUAGUGAAAGCCGGUUUUGCUGUCACUUAUAGAUGGAUCCGCGCCGCAUUAGCUAGUUGGUAAGGUAACGGCUUACCAAGGCAACGAUGCGUAGCCGACCUGAGAGGGUGAUCGGCCACACUGGAACUGAGACACGGUCCAGACUCCUACGGGAGGCAGCAGUAGGGAAUCUUCCGCAAUGGGCGAAAGCCUGACGGAGCAACGCCGCGUGAGUGAUGAAGGUCUUCGGAUCGUAAAACUCUGUUAUUAGGGAAGAACAAAUGUGUAAGUAACUAUGCACGUCUUGACGGUACCUAAUCAGAAAGCCACGGCUAACUACGUG